UACGUAGGUGGCAAGCGUUGUCCGGAUUUACUGGGCGUAAAGAGCGCGCAGGCGGCUGGUCAAGUCCGAUGUGAAAGCUCCCGGCUUAACUGGGAAAUUGCAUCGGAAACUGAUCGGCUGGAAGGUGGGAGAGGGUAGCGGAAUUCCCGGUGUAGUGGUGAAAUGCGUAGAUAUCAGGAGGAACACCUGCGGUGUAGACGGCUUACUGGGACCAUAACUGACGCUGAGGCACGAAAGCGUGGGUAGCAAACAGG
rnacentral:rRNA from 1 species